AUUUGACACUAUACAACAUGAAUAAUUUGGCAACCGAACUCAAUACCGAAGGAUAAUUCUCAAUCAAUGAGAAAGAGGAAGAAGUUGGCAACAGGUGUUCGGAUAACGAUCUUAUUUUCUGAUACAUUUCAAUCGCUUAUGACAGUUAGGAUAUUACGCAAGGAAAAGAAACGAUUUUGCACAUACAUUGCUAACUUAACACGUGAUCAUGUUGUGUUUAUGAUGCUGCAUUCAUUUUGUGGAUUUAAAAGUAUUCCAAACCUAGGGGACAGCUUACAUGGACGAUGUUGAAACAGACACACAAACUGGUAGCCGACAAUGUCAGAUUGAAAUUUUGCUGCCGGACAAGCGAAGACAAGUACAGCAAAGAUUUGGACUAAUUUGUUUUUUCAUAGUAAUCGUCAUGGUAAUUGGAAUAUUAAUAGGAUUUGUUGUAUACCUAGCAACCAAUAGAUAAGUUACAAUAUAUUGGGGGAACUAGAUAUUUGAUUAAAUCACAGAUUACGUGAAAAGUGACCAAACCGAAAUAUAUAUAAUAUAUACAAUCUUUUACGCACUGCAAUCAAUACUGACCAAAAGAUUUGUGAAAUCUGCGGACUGAUAUACUUAUUAAUCAUUUCACCUAUUUCGUUAUUUUCAUAAUUUCCCGUCCAAGUGUUGGUAUCCGUCUUUAAUGUAAUUUGGAAAAGUUUUUAUAUUUGGCGGGAAAUGUAACAUAUGGUCUAGUGCGAUCCAAUGAAAUAUAUUUGAUGUUUAGUCACGAUUGUAAACAAAGUGAACUGAAGUCACCUGCCACGUUUCAAUUAUAGUCGAUAUAAACAUAUUGAAUACUGAAGUCGUAGAAGCUCUCACAAUGGCUGACGCAGAUGAAAAGUAUUUGGACGAAUAUGAUGAAUAUAAUAUUCAACAGGACAAAAUUUCUGGUCACCACGGGGGCAAAGGACGGACGAAAAAGGAGUCGGAACAACACGUACACCCAGAUCCCGCAGGCCAUACCCGAAAAGCCACUCAAAAAUUGAUGAAUAAUGCACAGAACCAAAAAGACACAAAAAAAGAAGGAAAAUAACGAAGGCCAAAAUUAGAUGGAUACAGGACAUCGAUCUCAAGAUGGUUAUGGAGGAUGACAACGAAUUUGGAUAAUGGUGCAUGAUGCAAAAUCAGCACUUUACUGUUUUAAACAGAGACGAUAGUGCCGAUUUGUUGCUUUAUUGGCAACUUUAUUUUGUUAAUAUGAUUCCUGUAUAUUAAAUAUUUUUUGUUA